ensembl:lncRNA
CUUAUAGUAAUCCAUGCUGCUCCCAACCCCCACCGGGAGUGUAUAUUUUCUGCCUUGGGUACUUCGGAAGCAUAUCGGAGUGAUCUGUCUUAGAUCAGACAAGCCUGGCUUCUCCCUCCCUCUGUUCCUCUUCAGAAAAGAAGAAUAGUCCUCCCAGGGAUAUCGACAUGACAAGCUACAAUAAGACUAGGUACAACCUCUCAUAUCAGGGCUGGGUGAGGCAAACCAGUAGGAGGAAAGGGGCCCCAAGAGCAAUCAAAGAGUCAGAGACAGCCCCACGUCCACUGUUAGGAAUCUCACAAAACCACUGAGGCUAACAACCACAUCACGUAUGUAGAAGACCGAGCGCUGACCCACACAGGCUCUGACAUUGCUCCUUUAGUCUCUGAGCCCACAUUCCAUGGGCUGUGUUGUCCUGGUGUCCUGGACUGCUCUGGCUCAACCAACCCUUCCUCUGUUCUGCCACAGGGUUUCCCUGAGCUCCAAGGGGAGGGGAGGGACCUGAAGGAAGGCUCACAUUUUCAACAGAAGCUGUAGGCCACCUGCUUAGUGACAGCACCGGCAGUUAGACCAUCAGCAAGCUACAGCCCCCCCCCCCCCAGAAUGGAAUGAGACCUUAUUUUAUUGGACUUAUUCCCCCACUUAACACAUGGUCCUGCGAAUAACUGUAUUUC